rnacentral:rRNA from 1 species
AUACCCUGGUAGUCCACGCCCUAAGCGAUGUCAACUAGCUGUUGGGGCCGUUAGGCCUUAGUAGCGCAGCUAACGCGUGAAGUUGACCGCCUGGGGAGUACGGUCGCAAGAUUAAAACUCAAAGGAAUUGACGGGGACCCGCACAAGCGGUGGAUGAUGUGGAUUAAUUCGAUGCAACGCGAAAAACCUUACCUACCCUCGACAUGUCUGGAAUGCCGAAGAGAUUUGGCAGUGCUCGCAAGAGAACCGGAACACAGGUGCUGCAUGGCUGUCGUCAGCUCGUGUCGUGAGAUGUUGGGUUAAGUCCCGCAACGAGCGCAACCCUUGUCAUUAGUUGCUACGCAAGAGCACUCUAAUGAGACUGCCGGUGACAAACCGGAGGAAGGUGGGGAUGACGUCAAGUCCUCAUGGCCCUUAUGGGUAGGGCUUCACACGUCAUACAAUGGUCGGGACAGAGGGUCGCCAACCCGCGAGGGGGAGCCAAUCUCAKAAACCCGAUCGUAGUCCGGAUCGCAGUCUGCAACUCGACUGCGUGAAGUCGGAAUCGCUAGUAAUCGCGGAUCAGAAUGUCGCGGUGAAUACGUUCCCGGGUCUUGUACACACCGCCCGUCACACCAUGGGAGUGGGUUUCACCAGAAGUAGGUAGCCUAACCCCAAGGAGGGCGCUUACCACGGUGGGAUUCAUGACUGGGGUGAAGUCGAACAAGGUAGCCGUAUCGGAAGG